ensembl:snoRNA SNORA73 Small nucleolar RNA SNORA73 family
CUAAUUGAUCAGAAAGAUAGUUGUAGGACUGUUUUAAAAAUAUAAUAAAAUUUGACGCCUGCAUAUUCCUACAACUUCUCAGAGUCCUUUGGGCAGUGACUGAGGAGAUAAACCAUGCAGGAAACAAUG